UAAGUACUCCCUCCGUUCGGAAUUACUUGUCGUAAAAAUGGAUAUAUCUAGACGUAUUUUAGUUCUAGAUACAUCCAUUUCCGAGACAAGUAAUUCCAAACGGAGGGAGUAAUAG
rnacentral:pre_miRNA from 1 species